UACGUAGGUGACAAGCGUUGUCCGGAUUUACUGGGCGUAAAGAGCGCGCAGGCGGUCGAUCAAGUCGAGUGUGAAAGCCCCCGGCUCAACUGGGGAGGGUCAUUCGAUACUGAUCGACUCGAAGGCAGGAGAGGGUAGUGGAAUUCCCGGUGUAGUGGUGAAAUGCGUAGAUAUCGGGGAGGAACACCAGUGGCGAAGGCGACUACCUGGCCUGUUCUUGAUGCUGAGGCGCGAAAGCUAGGGGAGCAAACGGG
rnacentral:rRNA from 1 species